CUCCUACGGGAGGCAGCAGUAGGGAAUUUUCCGACUAAUGGGCGAAAGGCCUAGAUGGAGCAACGCCGCGUGCAGGAUGAAUGUACUUCGGAUUGUAAACUGACUUUUAUAUUGUGACGAUUAUGACGGUAGCAUAUGAAUAAGGAUCGGCUAACUCCGUGCCAGCAGCCGCGGUAAUAC
rnacentral:rRNA from 1 species